CCUCGUUAACCGGAAGGAAACCCUUCCGGUCAAAGAGGUCGAUGUACCUCCCUGACCGGAAGGGUUUCCUUCCGAUCAACAAGGAUGUACCUCUUUAAUCAGAAGGAAACCCUUCCGAUCAGGGAGGUACAUCUACCUCUUUGAUCGGAAGGGGUUCCUUCCGAUCAACAAGG
rnacentral:miRNA from 1 species